UAUCUCCCAAACUAAUUCACCGAUUGCUACAAAAUGUGGACACAACGUAGCAUUCAAACUGGCAAGUUUAAAGCUAUUCACAUAUCUACUAUCACAAACCUGUCACACCUGAGACAGGUGAAACCAUGUCCCUUAGCAACGGCCAAUCAGUCUCCUCCUCCCUUAGCAACUUCCAUAGCAGAUGGCUCCUCCCCUUAACAACAGUGCUAGCAAUAGCCAAGCAGUCUCCUCCCUUUAGCAACUGGCAUGGGUGGGACCGCAAGGGAUGGCUAGGCCACUCAGUUUGGCUUGGCAAGUUAUGUGCAGCCGAGGUUCUGUGGCCUAUCCAUGGAAAGGAGGUAUACUGAGAGUGAAAAUCCUUAUCGUGGGCCCUAGCGAGAACUGUACCUGAUUUUCCUGCUGGUGCCACUGACAGAUUUGCAAAACCUGCUCCAGUCCUUGGCGUUGCAGCUUCAGGAUUGUGAACGCUGGACAGUGAAGAUGAUGAGGCCCUUGGCCAUAUCCCGAGAAGACAUGAUUCACUAGAAAACGUAGAAACCAGCAAGAAAGGAGGAAGACCGCAUUACACAUGAUGGACUCAAUGACAAACACAAACAAACAAACUUCAUAAAAAUGUUAAAGCGAAAAAGUAGCCUUGGGGAACAGAGAGUCAGAGGGAGAAAACAGCACAAAGAGGGAGUGGUCCAAGAAUUCGCUUGCAAACAAAUGUACAGAAAUAUAAAGUUAAUGCAUCUGUGCUUGUAAAAGAUGGAAUUGUUACCUGUGUUUUUCCCGUUACUUUUUGCAAAGGCUGCUGGGAGUUUGGGCUUUACGAACAAUCAACAUGCCUAAUUUGCAUGUCUAGUUUCAAGACUGUGAUUAAAAUUGGAAAAAGUACCAUCAAGGCAUUUCUAUUUCUCCUUCUCAACAUACCUACUGAUAAAAUCUGAUUUGACUUCACAAAACGAACAAUGCAAAAGACAAUUUUAAUUACAUACAUGACUUCCCACUUCCUGAAUCCUUAUCUCUCCGAAAAGACGUAAAAACAAAGAAUGAAAGAUAUUGGAUGUCAACCCUUCCUUCUUUGGGAAAUAGCCAUAUUUUAAGACAAUUUUCCCAGUGGCAAAGUUUCAUUUGAUUGUUUUCAGUAAUGGAGUCCUUUUGUGCAAUAGCAAUUAGUUGCUAUCAGGAAUGCUAACUCAAAUUGUUUUGUGAUGAGCCUUUAAUAUCAAUGGAGAUUGAAAUGAGACCAGCUAAACAGGUAUUAAACUUCAAUUUGCUAGUCUAACUUCUUGAACAAGCCAAUAAGUUUGGAUCACUAUUUUUUAAAGAGUUUGAUAAAAUGUGAUAAAAUAGUGUUCUGAGCAGUCAACAGUAGAUUCUGAGCAGUCAACAAUAGAUUUAUCUGCCUUCUCUAUAUUUGGAUGAAAACCACAUGGCUACACCACAAAGCUAAAGGAAGAAAAGAGGUAUAAUAAACCCAUUAAGAAUUAAAAAGGCAUUUUGAAUG